UGCCACAUUCAGCGACAACCGCCUUAGGAAGCAACAUGAUCGGAAAGUGUACGAACGUAUCUUAGAAAUAGCACGUAACUAAAAGUGACUCCACAGUCUGUUGACCCUUUAAAUGUCCGUACACACAUGGAGGAACACAACACGCUAUAGGUAGUGCAGACAGUAUACAGUAUCCUACCAAAUGGCCUGCUUUCGAAAUACUUUAUCGAUUGUUGUUAAUAACUAAACAAGAUAAUGAAGAUACAAAAAUGCCGCUACAAGCAUCAAACAUAUAAUUUCUCGGCGGUAACUACACAGUCCUAUAUGAUCUAUCAAGAAUACGUUAUUUCCAAAUGUUGUGUGCGACUAGAAAACUCAAUCGCCAUACGACGUGUGUCGAUAUUUCACUGUAAAGAGUGAAACAGUAGACACGCGAUUCGUACCAUAGAGAAAACGAAGAGGAUAGCGGGUAUAAUGAGACAAACCACGUGUUAUAUAUUUAAAUUAGUCAAUUGAAUUGAUAUAAUAUGCCCAUAUUGUGGUCAUCGGAACUCUCGCUACGCACUAUAAGGUCACAUUCGGUGAAAAUAAUAACCUUAGUCACCACGUUCGAAUCAUGUAUCGGAAUUUAAUUGCCCGACAGGUAAUCGUAUUGUCUUAAAUGAACACCUAUAUUAAAUACAGACUAGAAACAAUUUAGGAACUUUAUAAGUUUUAUAUCACGGUAACUAAAAGAUAACAAAGGAAAGCCGCUAGGCGAGUCACAGCAGCACGAGGUUUGCAAAAAUGACCGACAUACCUGUAUAAUUACUUGUCAAUCGGUCUCUAACUUCUUUUCGAGUUUCUGUACGUAUCUAUCCAACGAUUAUAAUCAAGUGCCAAGAACACUGAAUGAUCAACUUCU